ACGCCCGCGCUGCUCAGCGCUACCGCUUCCCCGCAACUGUGCGGAGUGGGAGCCGGUGCCCGGUCCGACCGGCUUGGGCGGCGCGCCUUCACCCGGCGCCAGGUCCGGACCCCUCCCUAGUAGCUUCGCGGCCUCCCUGCCUCCUGUGCGCGGCCUGGCUCGGAGAGGUCGGGCGGGCAGGCUUUCCCGACUGCAGGCGAGGCAGUGCGCGGCUCACCCCAGUCCCCGACCCACGUGAAGCGUACAGGGCAUUUUAUUAACCGGGAAGGACGGUGCGGAAGAGCGAGCAGGACGCCUCUUCACCCCGCGUAGGCAGUGUCGUCGUUGCUGUCACUAAAGGCGGAGGAAGAGAGCUCUUCGCGGGGCGUGCAGACCGGGCACCGCUGCCGCAUGUCGUCCCAGCACGACCAGCAGUACACGGCCUCGCAGUCCAGCGUCCGGCACACGUAGGACUCGGGCGUCUCGGGUGCCUGGCACACCACGCAGCGCCGGCACAGCCAGCGGCGCAGGAGCGGGCAGCCGCGGUGCAGGAUAUCCGCCAGCGGGUGGCGCUGUUGGGAGGUGAGAAAACUGAUGCUUGGAGAUGUGAUCACUGCCCAGGGUCACCCAAUGAUAACAUGCAUGCAUAUGGAACUUGCUGCAUGCCAGCACCAUCUUUGCGGAGUGGCAGCAGAGUCCGUUUGCCCUGGAAAACAAAUGUCCACACAGUUAGGAAGCCCAAGGGCCCUCUGCCCUUUCCUCUCUGCCUUCCUGGAGCAUGAACCCACACAGGGCACACAGCAGCAAGGCAUCCCCGGGCAGUGCCGUGCCCACUCACCAGCUUCUUCCUGCGGUCAUCGAUCUGGCAGAAGUUCUCCUCAUCUAUCCCCAAACAUGGGCUUCCUUGAGGCACAGUCAUUCAACCAACCAGCCAGCAUUCAUUGAGCACCAUCUAUGUCCUGGGCACUGCUAGGGGAUGGUGAUAACAGGGAGAAGACUCUGUCCCUGCCUUCCAAUUGUGUAGAGGAAGACAUCCCCCUACAUGAUGGCAUAUCUCCUGGAAGUGUGCUGGGGCAAAACUCAUCCCAGACCACCAUCUCCAUCCUCCCCCAAUACACCCUGGCUCUCCCUGGCUACCCUUGAGCACGGUGCACGUGUGCAUGGGUGCAUGCCUGCAUAUAUAGCUAUCCCCCAUGUAUUUCCCAAAGCCCUACAUAAUGCUUCAGUUUGCUAAGGAAAAAAUGUUAAUUACUGCAAAUGUGUUUAAAACUGUAAAAGUACAUUAAACAAACUCUGUAAAGUGUGAAA
rnacentral:lncRNA from 1 species